GACGAACGCUGGCGGCGUGCUUAACACAUGCAAGUCGAACGGAAAGACCAUGCUUUUGUGCGUUGCUCGAGUGGCGAACGGGUGAGUAAAACAUGAGUAAACUGCACUUGUCUUUGGGAUAACUUUAGGGAACUGGGGCGAAUACAGGGGAGGAGAUCCUGCUGCGUGUGGGGGGUUGGAGAGAGUCGGUGUUUGGGGAACGACUCGCGGCGUAUUAGCUAGUUGGUGAGGCUACGGCGUACAAAGCCUACGAUGGGUAGGCGGCCUGAGAGGGUGAUCGGCCACACUGGAACUGAGACACGGUCCAGACUCCUACGGGAGGCAGCAGUAGGGAAUCGUGCGCGAUGGGCGAAAGCUUGACGGAGCAACGCCGCGUGAGUGAUGAAGGUCUUCGGAUCGUAAAACUCUGUUAUUAGGGAAGAACAAAUGUGUAAGUAACUAUGCACGUCUUGACGGUACCUAAUCAGAAAGCCACGGCUAACUACGUG
rnacentral:rRNA from 1 species